CGCGCAUGCGCGUCAGCUUUCACCCUGCAGCAACACUUCUAAGCGAAAUAUUGAUAUGGUGCUAAUUAAUGGACACUUUCAUAGAUCUCUGCCAAUCAUUCGGUGUGCCCCUCUGGGUGGGGCCGUUGCUCCACGCGGCCUCCAGGCUGAAGACGACAGACCGGAUAAAACGAAGAAAAGUUUACCGUUUAAUCCAGCGUCAGUUACUGAACAGGAUCGGCUGUAGCACACGUUACAAACCCACUUACGUGUACCCAGCUGAGCUCAAAGAGAUGGUCCGAGCAGCCUUUCCAAACGACAUCUGUGACUAUGACGACCCCUGUCACGAAAAUGUGAGAUAUAU
rnacentral:lncRNA from 1 species